GCCCAGAUAGCUCAGUCGGUAGAGCAGGGGAUUGAAAAUCCCCGUGUCGGCGGUUCGAUUCCGUCUCUGGGCACCA
rnacentral:tRNA from 1313 species